UUAUUGUGGUAAAAUAUACAUCGUUAAAAUGUGCUGCACUGGCCACUUUUAAGUGUGCAGUUUGGAGGUGUUAAGCGCUUUCUGUUAUGUUGUUAGCACCAUCAUGCCUGCUCUUUGAGUGUGGCGUCUUGUGGUGAGCAUGCCUUGUUCAGUCCUGGCUGUACCUGUGGUUUCUCUCUUCGGUGGUGACUUCAUGUGUACAACAGAAGCUUUUGUGUUCCCAUUCCCUUGUCUGUAAGUGGAUGAGUGUUUAUAGAAUUUGUAUCUCAUAGAGCUGCUCAAUAGGAAGCCCACAGAGCGGGGAGUUCUCUGAGAAUGAUGUUAAAGCCAGGGUUGCUGCAUGGCUGUGGCUGCAGUUCACAGCCAUGCUAGUUGGAUGAUGGACACCUAUUCCAGGGAAGUCCCUGGGAGUGAAGGACAUCUACUGUCCUUAAGCUGUCAUGUGGUGGUCGUCCAGAUGCAGGGGUCAGAUUUUUAAAAAGUCAGCUUUGUCAUAAACCUGCUUGCCUUCCAGAGUGACACUCAAUGCAGUUUUAGAGUUACAGUAUUGAGGUCAUCAUAGCAUCCAAAACACACUUAUGAGUUUGAAGAAAAUGCUUAAAAAUUAGUAUGAAUUGGAUUGUUAAAGACUAAAUCUUUGCUACCACUGGUCUUAAUGUAUCAUUUUCAGUUUAUUGGCAUAUAACAAUGAGGUCAAGGGGAAUACAAAUUAGGUUUUGAUGAUUGAAGAAUCGGAAAAUAAUAUGUAUGUGAAGUAGGUGUAACUGAGCUUAAGAAAUUUGGUACAGAGUUAAAGAAGUAAGAUUCUUUCCCCAGAUACAUAGAGGGUGCUUGAAUAGAGGUGGUAACGGCAUUGUGUUUUCUUUCAUCCACCUGCUAUGCUUUUGCUAAAUGAGAGGUCUGCAUUGUGGACUCAUUGGGACUAGACUGAGUCAGAUACCUUGGAGGAUGGUAAGGCUGAGGUUUGUAGUUUCUAACCAUGACCGUGUCUACUUUUUAUCUGUUAGACUACACAUAAGGCCUGAAUAGGUGUCUUCCACAGCUGAAUCUGCUACUAACUGCAAAGAAGCCAUUCUCCAUCUGGGAUUUUAGCAAAUCCAGAAGCUUCGCUUUGAAUCCAUUGUUAAUUAUAUGUUUUGAGCAAGUUGUUUCACUUAUCCAAAAUCCUGUGGUUUUUUUUUCCCCUCUUUAAAAUAAGGGUAAUAAUAGCCCACCUUUAGAGUGACAGUUGAGGCCUGAAGGAGGGCCAUGUAUAUGAUAUUUAAAGGUGUCAUCAGUCCAUCCUGGUAGCUUUGGAUAUUGACGUCGUGUGGCCUUCCAAAAAGUUCUCUGGUGCAGUCUCCUACUUCUUUUAUCCCUUUUGUGUUACACCCUUGGGGUUCCCCACCAAACUCUUCCCCUAUUUUUGCUUAUCUUCUUUCCUGGCCAAACCAUUUUGCACUUAAAUCCUUUUUUGGCUCCAUGACUCUAAGAUGGUUGUUAAUUUGACUAUUGCUUAGCAUAAUCCAUUGAAAGAUGUAAGAGUUUUAUUCCCCUUCUCCUAAGAUGGUAUUUACAGUUUAAAGAAAGAAUUUUCCUAAUAAAAUGAAUUUCUCAUUUGUGAGACCUGUAGUCAGGUAUAUCUUAGGUCAAUGAGUAUUUAUUUAGUGUGUGUGACUCCAUGCUUAGCACUAUGUUUGGCUCUGAGGAAUGACAAAGAAUACCUACUUCAAAAUGAGUGACAGACAUUGGGCCCACCUGUGAGGUGGGUGCUGGGUUCAUGAGCCCCAGUGGUGGAGGGAGGGUUGGGCAGGGCCCGGGUCACCUGACCCAGGUCUUUGGGCCCACCUGUGCAGUGGGUACUGAACCCAUGAGCCCACGGGACAGAGGUCUGAUGGAACCCAGGUUGCCUGGCCCGGGUCCAUGGGCCCAUCUGUGAGAACUGGUCCUCCUCAGUGUAAAGGAUGGAGAAGUGGAUAGCAGGCCUUGGUGUACAUAGAGGACAUGGUAGUCCAUCGGGGCCUGCAGAGGACAUCUGGUACCAUAGCAGAGAAUGGAGAACAGAA